UAGNANAANUNUACACCGCNGCGUGGCUCACUAUAUAACUUAUCGUUUAUUUGAUAUCACCUUACCCCACGUAUACCCGUUAUAUCUCUAGCUCAUACAUGCGCAAAAUCCCCACAUCGGAGAGGGUAUUUAUUAUAUUUAAAACCAAUGCCCUUCGGGGCUCCUCGGGGGAUUAUUGAUAAUUUCUCNAUNCCAAGGGCCCCGCNCCGGCAAGGGUUCUUUCAAUUUUCUUCCNAAUCACUUUCCUAUCCUAUUGUAAUGUCCAUGGNAGCACCGGGUGCGGUGGGGNAAAANGAUAACGGGUAAACGGAAAAAAUAACANAUAUGGGUCGGAGACNAUUCAUUCUAAUUUCUGCCCCAUCAACUCUCGAUGGUANGAUAGAGGCCUACNAUGGUCNCAACGGGUAACGGGGAA
rnacentral:rRNA from 1 species